AUGAGAGAUGUUGAAGGGGGCCGGUUGCUCCGUUAUAUGCAUGCUAAUGGGGAAAGUAUGUUUCUCAUUGUGGUUCACCUUCAUAUUUUUCGUGGUCUACAUCAUGCGAGUUAUAGCAGUCCUAGGGAAUUUGUUCGGUGUGUCGGAGUUGUCAUAUUCCUAUUAAUGAUUGUGACAGCUUUUAUAGGAUACGUACCACCUUGGGGUCAGAUGAGCUUUUGGGGAGCAACAGUAAUUACAAGCUUAGCUAGCGCCAUACCAGUAGUAGGAGAUACCAUAGUGACUUGGCUUUGGGGUGGUUUCUCUGUGGACAAUGCCACCUUAAAUCGUUUUUUAGUCUCCAUCAUUUACUCCCCCUUAUUUUAG
rnacentral:rRNA from 1 species